UACAGAGGUGGCAAGCGUUGUUCGGAAUUACUGGGCGUAAAGGGCGCGUAGGCGGCCAUCUAAGUCAGACGUGAAAUCCCCCGGCUUAACCUGGGAACUGCGUCUGAUACUGGACGGCUUGAGUAUGGGAGAGGGAUGUAGAAUUCCAGGUGUAGCGGUGAAAUGCGUAGAUAUCGGGAAGAACACCCGUGGCGAAGGCGGCUCUCUGGGACGGUACUGACGCUGAGACGCGAAAGCGUGGGGAGCGAACAGG
rnacentral:rRNA from 1 species